rnacentral:rRNA from 1 species
GACGAACGCUGGCGGCGUGCUUAACACAUGCAAGUCGAACGGAAAGGCCCUGCUUUUGUGGGGUGCUCGAGUGGCGAACGGGUGAGUAACACGUGAGUAACCUGCCCUUGACUUUGGGAUAACUUCAGGAAACUGGGGCUAAUACCGGAUAGGAGCUCCUGCUGCAUGGUGGGGGUUGGAAAGUUUCGGCGGUUGGGGAUGGACUCGCGGCUUAUCAGCUUGUUGGUGGGGUAGUGGCUUACCAAGGCUUUGACGGGUAGCCGGCCUGAGAGGGUGACCGGCCACAUUGGGACUGAGGUACGGCCCAGACUCCUACGGGAGGCAGCGGUGGGGAAUAUUGCACAGUGGGCGGGAGCCUGAUGCAGCGACGCCGCGUGCGGGAUGACGGCCUUCGGGUUGUAAACCGCUUUCGCCUGUGACGAAGCGUGAGUGACGGUAAUGGGUAAAGAAGCACCGGCUAACUACGUG